CACACCCAUGGGAAGGGCUCCAAAACGGGAGAGCCAUCCCUCGACGGAUCUGAGCGGGGGAGGGAAGCCGUGGAGAGAUUGACGGAUCUAAACGCCAUCCCUCGCUGUGGGUCGCGAACCUCAAUGCUUCCCGAGGUCGCUGCCAUCUCACUCCAUGUUCGACGCAACGGGCUGCAGCGGCGCAAACUGACCAUAGGUGCGGCGUUCUCCACAGCUUCCGCCUUCAUGAGGAAAUCCCCUUCUUCUUCCCCUCUCAUGGACCUCUGCCACCCUCUCCUGAUUUGCGUUACCAUGCUUUUCUACUUUGACCACAACACGCAAGCCGGGUAGGAAGGAUUACAAGGAACAGGAGAGCCAUCGCCUCGACUCUGUCCUGGACAGACUCGGCAGGGUGGCUACAGAGAACAACAAAGUUGGGUAAACUGAGUAGAAUUACAGGUAGGUUUUGUGAAAUGGGAAUCGAGUCAGGUGGCGUGCUUGCCCGCAGAAAUAACAACGACAUUGAAGAAGAGGUCCAAGGAGAGGAUCCUUAGCACACUCUGGAUACAGAGUCUCUCGAGUGGAUGAAGAGGAUGUUGUUGUGCCGAAAGAAAACAUGGCAAUUGCAAGGCAUGCAAGCCGGGCUAUGUUUCAGCAAUUUUGAACCAAUACUGUAUGGGCAGGCACAUACGGGAAGUGCUCGGUUUGGAUUACUUUUGUUUCCAUACUGGAGUCAGCAGGAGGGGAAUUGGAGGUUCUUGCUCCUCUGCAAAAUCAGUCCGCCAGCUUGCCCCAAGAGAAGAGUUUGAUCAAAACAACAUCUAUCUGAUCAAGCACACAUGGCUAGAGUAGCAUACGAGGAAGAAUUUGACUGUCAUGGAUCAUGUUGGUAUAGAGGCACAUGUUUGCUCUUCUGUCGCGUAUAGCCAUUGGAACAUAUACAUUCAUGUGCUAGAGCUUGUUUGGUCAGGAGAUGCCAGCCCAAAAGUUAGAAAAUCACGCAACAAAGAAUUUAUUUUAAAGAUACACACCGGCGUAGAGACCGCCUUCCUGCUCUAGGAACUCUCCAUAUCGCCCGCUUGGCUGCACU